UACGGAGGGGGCUAGCGUUGUUCGGAAUUACUGGGCGUAAAGCGCACGUAGGCGGCUUUGCAAGUUAGAGGUGAAAGCCCGGGGCUCAACUCCGGAAUUGCCUUUAAAACUGCAUCGCUAGAAUUGUGGAGAGGUAAGUGGAAUUCCGAGUGUAGAGGUGAAAUGCGUAGAUAUCGGGAGGAACACCAGUGGCGAAGGCGACUACCUGGCCUGUUCUUGACGCUGAGGCGCGAAAGCUAGGGGAGCAAACGGG
rnacentral:rRNA from 1 species